rnacentral:rRNA from 1 species
GACGGGGGAUGCAAGUGUUAUCCGGAAUCACUGGGCGUAAAGCGUCUGCAGGUGGUUUCCUAAGUCCACUGUUAAACCUUGAGGCUCAACCUCAAAUCUGCAUUGGAAACUAGGAGACUUGAGUAUAGUAGGGGUAGAGGGAAUUUCCAGUGGAGCGGUGAAAUGCGUAGAUAUUGGAAAGAACACCGAUGGCGAAGGCGGUUCUCUGGGCCUUACCUGACGCUGAGGAGCGAAAGCGUGGGGAGCGAACAGG